rnacentral:rRNA from 1 species
AUUGAACGCUGGCGGCAUGCUUUACACAUGCAAGUCGAACGGCAGCACGGGGGCAACCCUGGUGGCGAGUGGCGAACGGGUGAGUAAUACAUCGGAACGUGCCCAAUCGUGGGGGAUAACGUAGCGAAAGCUACGCUAAUACCGCAUACGAUCUACGGAUGAAAGCGGGGGAUCGCAAGACCUCGCGCGAAUGGAGCGGCCGAUGGCAGAUUAGGUAGUUGGUGGGGUAAAGGCUCACCAAGCCAACGAUCUGUAGCUGGUCUGAGAGGACGACCAGCCACACUGGGACUGAGACACGGCCCAGACUCCUACGGGAGGCAGCAGUGGGGAAUUUUGGACAAUGGGCGAAAGCCUGAUCCAGCCAUUCCGCGUGCAGGAUGAAGGCCUUC